AACGAACGCUGGCGGCAGGCUUAACACAUGCAAGUCGAACGAGAUCUUCGGAUCUAGUGGCAGACGGGUGAGGAACACGUGGGAACAUCCCUUUCAGUUCGGAAUAACGUUGGGAAACUAACGCUAAUACCGGAUAUGUCCUUCGGGAGAAAGAUUUAUCGCUGAAAGAUUGGCCCGCGUCUGAUUAGCUAGUUGGUGAGGUAAUGGCUCACCAAGGCUACGAUCAGUAGCUGAUCUGAGAGGAUGAUCAGCCACAUUGGGACUGAGACACGGCCCAAACUCGUACGGGAGGCAGCAGUGGGGAAUAUUGGACAAUGGGCGCAAGCCUGAUCCAGCCAUGCCGCGUGAGUGAUGACGGCCUUCGGGUUGUAAAGCUCUUUUGUCCGGGAAGAUAAUGACUGUACCGGAAGAAUAAGCCCCGGCAAACUUCGUGCCAGCAGCCGCCGUAA
rnacentral:rRNA from 1 species